AUUGAACGCUGGCGGCAGGCCUAACACAUGCAAGUCGAGCGAGCGGCGGACGGGUGAGUAAUGUCUGGGAAACUGCCUGAUGGAGGGUGAUCACUAAUGGAAACGGUAGCUAAUACCGCAUACCAUCCGAUGUGCGCAGAUGGGCUUAGCUGGUAGGGGGGGUAACGGCUCACCUAGGCGACGAUCCCUAGCUGGUCUGAGAGGAUGACCCGCCACACUGGAACUGAGACACGGUCCAGACUCCUACGGGAGGCAGCAGUGGGGAAUAUUGCACAAUGGGCGCAAGCCUGAUGCAGCCAUGCCGCGUGUGUGAAGAAGGCCUUCGGGUUGUAAAGCACUUUCAGCGGGGAGGCGUUACCCGCAGAAGAAGCACCGGCUAACUCCGUGCCAGCAGCCGCGGUAAUUC
rnacentral:rRNA from 1 species